rnacentral:rRNA from 1 species
GAUGAACGCUGGCGGCGUGCCUAAUUCAUGCAAGUCGAGCGAACGGACGAGAAGCUUGCUUCUCUGAUGUUAGCGGCGGACGGGUGAGUAACACGUGGAUAACCUACCUAUAAGACUGGGAUAACUUCGGGAAACCGGAGCUAAUACCGGAUAAUAUUUUGAACCGCAUGGUUCAAAAGUGAAAGACGGUCUUGCUGUCACUUAUAGAUGGAUCCGCGCUGCAUUAGCUAGUUGGUAAGGUAACGGCUUACCAAGGCAACGAUGCAUAGCCGACCUGAGAGGGUGAUCGGCCACACUGGAACUGAGACACGGUCCAGACUCCUACGGGAGGCAGCAGUAGGGAAUCUUCCGCAAUGGGCGAAAGCCUGACGGAGCAACGCCGCGUGAGUGAUGAAGGUCUUCGGAUCGUAAAACUCUGUUAUUAGGGAAGAACAUAUGUGUAAGUAACUGCGCACAUCUUGACGGUACCUAAUCAGAAAGCCACGGCUAACUACGUG